rnacentral:siRNA from 1 species
CUAGUGACGAAGUUGAUGUCACA